rnacentral:rRNA from 1 species
UACAUGGGGUGCAAACGUUGCUCGGAAUUAUUGGGCGUAAAGCGCACGUAGGCGGUUCGUUAAGUCGGAUGUGAAAGCCCUCGGCUCAACUGAGGAAGUGCACCCGAAACUGGCGAGCUUGAGUACGAAAGAGGAUCGCGGAAUUCACGGUGUAGCAGUGAAAUGCGUAGAUAUCGUGAGGAACACCAGAGGCGAAGGCGGUUACCUGGACAGUUACUGACGCUCAGGCACGAAAGCAUGGGGAGCAAAAGGG